GACGAACGCUGGCGGCGUGCUUAACACAUGCAAGUCGAACGGAAAGGCCCUGCUUUUGUGGGGUGCUCGAGUGGCGAACGGGUGAGUAACACGUGAGUAACCUGCCCUUGACUGUGGGAUAACUUCAGGAAACUGGGGCUAAUACCGGAUAGGAGCUCCUGCUGCAUGGUGGGGGUUGGAAAGUUUCGGCGGUUGGGGAUGGACUCGCGGCUUAUCAGCUUGUUGGUGGGGUAGGGGCUUACCAAGGCUUUGACGGGUAGCCGGCCUGGGAGGGUGACCGGCCACAUUGGGACUGAGAUACGGCCCAGACUCCUACGGGAGGCAGCAGUGGGGAAUAUUGCACAAUGGGCGGAAGCCUGAUGCAGCAACGCCGCGUGCGGGAUGACGGCCUUCGGGUUGUAAACCGCUUUCGCCUGUGACGAAGCGUGAGUGACGGUAAUGGGUAAAGAAGCACCGGCUAACUACGUG
rnacentral:rRNA from 1 species